GCCCGCCUGCACUUUCGGCCCACUUGGGCCGGUCUGUGUUAGGGUUUCCUUCACAACCGUUUGAUAUGAUCCGACGGCCAUCCGCGGCUUUCGCUAGGACAAAACCAGCCCGCAUCAGCCUCUCUGUCGAAAAACCUGGCUCAUUCUCGUUCUCUCCUCCUCAUCUCUCGUCGCCGUCUCGCUGACGGCGGAGAAAAAAGGGGUUCGCCCCGGCCACCCGGCCCGGCCGCCGGCGGCGGCGAAAGCCACCGCGCCGCGCGCGCCUCCUCUCCCUUCUCCCUUUUUCCUUUCACCACUAUCUCCUGCGACAGAGCGAGAGAGAGGCGCGACCAGGGCCCUCCUCUGCUCCUCUGUCAGCUCGAGUGGCGGCGGGUUCGGGCUGCGCCGGUCGCCGGCGAAGGCGUCGACGGCGACAGCGGCGCGCCUCGCCGCCCUUUGCUUUUCUCCUGUCCUCCCCUUUCUGUCAGUACUCUAUCCGUCCACCGCAUGCAGUGGCAGAGAGGGACGCGGGUGUGCCCGGCCGCCGGCGACGGCGGCAAGCCGCCCCAGCGCGAGCCCCCUUUCCCUUUUUUUCUUUCCACUUUUCUCACGCAACAGAGAGAGAGAGAGGCGUGGAUGAGGAUCUGCCCCCUUGUGUCCGAGGACGGCAGAGUAGUUGGUGGUGGCGCCAUUGCCAUCCUCCUCACCGGUCGCGCGUCCUCCCUUCCGGUGAGCGUGCCGCCAUCGAGGGAUUUGGCCGCGGCGCUGACCCCUUCCCCCCUUUUUUGUUUUCUUUUGUUUUCCGGCGAGCCUUUGGCUAGCUGCGGUGGUUCUUCUUCCAGACGCCUCGGCAUGCCGAUGCGCGUCCGAAUCGAGAGGAACGGCACGGCCUUGCGGCGGCGCGAUUACUUUGCCCUUUGCCCCUCUUGUUCUUUUAGGGUUAGGGUUCAUGGGAGGAAAUCUUUUCUUUUUCUGUAUAGCCUUUUCUACCGAAGAUCUUAGCCUUCUUGGCUCUCAAACCAUUGAUAGAUCGAUUUGGAUCGGGGUAGGCUAGAUCAUCCGGUAAACCUACCUUCCGUCUGGCCUGACGAGCUCGAGCCAAAGGCCAUGGUGGUGCUGUGGUGACGACGGUGAUGGAAUUUCGCGUGAGCACCGCGCUAACCCUAGAUCAGUAGGGAUUGUCGGUGGGGAUUGUGGCAGCGAUGAACUUCGUGUCUCGUGCCGCGCCCCCUCACCUCUGUUUAUAUAGCGUGGGUCACAGGGGCCUACCAACCAUGGUUUGGUUGGGCGCCCCCGAUCAGGGCGUGAUGCAAGGGCCUGUUCGACCCGUUGGGCUCGAACGGGAGAGAGAUCAACCUAACAGACUCGGCAUGCUGCAGGAUCUUCUGACCUCGGAGUAUAGCGUUGCAUAUUCCUGAAGCAAUUGUGAUGCUCUGUUUUGUUAGGAUUAAGAUGCUUGAACAUGUAAGCAGUACACUAUCGAGCAAUAGAGAUCUUUCUCAUGCUGACUACAUGCUACCAUUUGGGCCAUACACAUUGUUUAGUAACUAAUCAAAAAGUGUCAAAGGCUAGCUACCAAAGCAAAUCUGAAUCUGCUAACUAUACUACUACUGCCACAACUAACCAAGGUUGGAGCAUGAGAAAGGAGGGGUUGCCAAGUUGAACGCGAAGGACAAGCUUUCAGACGGCGGCGCAGGCAGAAGACAUGACGGUGCGGCCAUCGGAAGCACUAUUCUUCCUACCCUUGUCCUCCGAGAACGACGGGGACAAGGGAGGCGGCGGCGGCACUGUCCAGCAGUGGGGAAGGAGAAUGGGGAACGGGAAGAAAGAUUGAGUUCGUGUGUGUUGUGUGUGUGAAUAAAAGUAUUUCAAUGGGCCAAGCACAAAAAACAGUGCAAAAUAAAUUACAAAUUUCUACUAUUAAAGAAGAAUCGAACGUCGUGAUGGUUCAACCUCCCGAUGGUUCGACCUCCGCCUCCUAUCGAUCGACCUCUCCCCCCACCCUUCGUACGCACGAUUAAAAAAAUCAGGAAAACUAUCCCUCACGUGAAAAGAAGAAAAAUAAUCCAUCGCAACAAAUAUCGGGAGAAAACAACUGCAAAGCGAUCGUGCGCACGCACGACAUGCACGAUAGCAAAAGCCGUCCUCCUCUCCUCUCUCCUCGAGCUACCGUCCUGUGUUCCCCACCGGCGAGACCGCAGGUCCCCGUUCCCUCCUUCGACUCCGCCGUCUAAAUCCUAGGGUGUCGCAGCACUGGAUCCGUCACAGAACUUCUCGAGACUCUCCUUCCCGCACGAUCUCGAGCAGCCGCCGCCGUAACCGUCCCAGCAUCUGCGCCCGUUCACCCCCCUGCGAGCCGGGCGGCCGGGCCUCUGCUGCAGCCAAAAGACGCCGGCGACCGAGCAGCUGCCGUCCCUCCUCCCCGCACGCCCAAGUCCUUAACGCGCGCCCUGCCCAAGCUACUCCUCUUCAUGCCCCCUAUCAGCCGCGAUGAUGGUGUUCGUCGACCUGCAGCAGUUGCCCGAUCAUUUGUGUAUUCUCUCAGGCGAGCUUCUCUCUCCCCAGUUGAUGCCUCUUGUUGCCAUUCAUUCACCGGUUUGGUGAGCGUGCGGUUUGAUGUGUGCGCUUGUGAUUUUUUCUUUGCAUGAAGCUAGCAACCGUGAAUGAAUCUGGGAUGAUGGAUUUAGCUUCGUGGAAGAUGAUUGUAGGUGGACUGUUGAGUUGCCGAUGUGUGAAUGUGAGUAAUUUUUUGCCUAUGUGCUUGGUUCAUGAACUGAUUGGAUAAUUGUCUUUCCACUGUUAUUCCGAACAAUUGUUUUAAAUCAACGAAAUUGCUUUUCUAAGGUAGUUGAUAUUUAUGCAGCUUCAACUUUGUUUUUUGCGAACAGAGAUUAUAGUUGUUUGUCUAGCUUCAAGGUUUAUUUGCUUGUGCUUGAUGAUAGCAUGGAUGAGCGGAUCCCACGGCGUGGUUCAGACGAUGAACCAGGGUACGGUUAUCUUGUUGACACUACAAAUUCAAGACAGAAAAUGUCAGGAUUCAUUGGAGCUCAGUAAAGAGGUACAUGCCCAGGAAAUGGCAAUAUUGAUCUAGGUUUGCAAAGCGUUGUGUUGAGCUAUAUGAGGCCUCGUUUCAAUGGCUUCUUUAAACCGGCGCCUCUUUUUUCCCUUUGGUGUGUUUUCGAGUCUAUUUUUGUUAGUACCUACCCAAUAUAAUUCCUGAUAUAAUUUCCUUUUGUGAGUUGAACUAUGUGUUUGCAGGAUAUUCAGGUUAGGGAGAUCGAGAAGCUCCUCUAUAAGUUGACAAAGUUAUAGCAAAGAAAAAUCUGCAGGUGCGCAACUCUUGUAGGAGUUUCCACGAUCAAACUCAGCAGUCCUUCAGAUCACUGGCUUUCUAUACCCCCCUCCUCCGAUGGGACACACACAAAAUCAUUCUAAUUGAAUGUUUGUUUGAACAUUUAUGGUCUCCAUCAUCUCUAACAGUUUUAUAUCUCGAACAAAAGCGAGAAACCAGAAGUUGUAACCGAAGGCAACAUCUAUGAAAGACCAAAAAGCUCAUGGAGAAGGCAGAAAGUCACUUUGGAGGAUGAGCUCGAGUGAGCCCUAUAUUUUGAAUAGUGCCAAAAAGGUAUUUUUGAAUUGUGCCAAAAAGUCAUUCAUGAAGAAGGAUGUUAACAAAACAAAAAAAGUUGCACAGAUUGCGAAAUAAAAGUUAAGACAAUUGAAUAAAGAUGUAAAUUAAUACGUACCAUGCAUGUAACUUUUGCCAACAAAUACACAAGAAGUACUCAUAACAAUCCAAUAGUAUUGCACUCUAACAGAUUUGAUGUAUGCUUCUUCACUAUGAAUAAUCACACGCUCUUUCAAUUCCUGUUUACAAAAAUCUUGCAAACAGAGAAAAGCCAGGCUUUCCCAAUGAAUUUAGGUGUGGACCAACCUCGGACACCAACAACCAUGCAUGCUCCUGGUAUUCUCUUGCUUGGUUUCUUGUCACUGACCAUACAAGAGGUCCAUCAUAUAUAGUUGAAGUAUUUUAUCAUUAUAGAAGAACUAUAUUUUUUCUGAUAAGAUUUUAGUGUUUCUUAGUCUGUUUAUCAUACAAGUGAUGCACAACAUCAUCAUCAAUAUGAGAUGCUCAGACCAGCUGCUUUAGGAUACGAGGAUGUUUAAUAUAAUGUCAUUGUCAUACCAAGAAGGAUUUAGCUGAAGGUUUGUGAUUGAGGAGAAUGAACCGGUGAUAUUAACCUAAAGCGAGGGAUGGAACACCUCUUUGAAAUGCUCUGCAAAUGGAAACAUACAUGAAUAUGUUGAUCCUCAUUUUUUUCGGUCUCAGUGGAUAACAGUAAUAUGCAGAGCUGGAGGAAGACACCGUCGUUGCUCUUCAUGUGUGCCAGCUGAAUGUGAGGACACAGUUGCUCCAUUGUUUCAAUCCUUUAUUUCCAUCCGUCGGCUCUACUGGUAGGAACCUUGGUCAAGACAAAAUUAUGAACCCAUGCAUGGCAGUGGCAGCAAAACAUAGUCCAAAUGUCAAUAGAAAGGAAGUGGGAGUGUGUAGUGGUAAUAAAAUGGGAAGGGAGCCACCCCAUGUGUUUGUGACAACAUAGAAUGAAGAGUUUGUCUAUAUAUUUUUGUUCUGUACAAAUGAAAGGGUUGGGAUUGUAAUUGGUGAGUCACUAGGGUGCAUGUUGAUAGUAAGAGAGCCAGGACUUAAAUACAAUCUAAGCAAAAUUCAGAUUAUGAUUUUA